rnacentral:lncRNA from 1 species
GAACUUUGACGAAUUAUCCACAUGAAUGUUAUUAUUCUCUGCUUUCAAACUUUCACUUUUGAUAAAGGUUUGAAUUCUAAAAGCUAAAGUAGGAUUUAAUUUCUGAAUAAAAAAUGGAUGAGGAUAUGAACGUAGGAAUAUCUUUUCUAUGCUUUAUUUUGGCAAGACACACGUAAAUUACAGUCAAGUUUUCCUUGUUAUACCUUUUGAUGCGUG